GAUGAACGCUGACAGAAUGCUUAACACAUGCAAGUCGGUGGCGGACGGGUGAGUAACGCGUAAAGAACUUGCCUCACAGGUAGGGACAACAUUUGGAAACGAAUGCUAAUACCUAAUACUGUGAGAGAGCUUUGCGUCCCAUUAGCUAGUUGGAGAGGUAACGGCUCACCAAGGCGAUGAUGGGUAGCCGGCCGGAGAGGGUGAUCGGCCACAAUGGGACGAGGACACGGCCCAAACUCCUACGGGAGGCAGCAGUGAGGAAUAUUGGUCAAUGGACGGAAGUCUGAACCAGCCAAGUAGCGUGCAGGAUGACGGCCUAUGGGUUGUAAACUGCUUUUGUAUGGGGAUAGGUACCAUACGAAUAAGGACCGGCUAAUUCCGUGCCAGCAGCCGCGGUAAUUC
rnacentral:rRNA from 1 species